AGCCUUCCUCUGAGUGGGGGAUAGCCCAUAGAAAUGUGGAUUAAUACCCCAUAGCAUUAUCAGGUGGCAUCACUUGAUAAUUAAAGAUUUAUUGCUCAGAGAUGGCUGUGCGGCUGAUUAGGUAGUUGGUUGGGGUAACGGCCUACCAAGCCUUCGAUCAGUAACUGGUGUGAGAGCACGACCAGUCACACGGGCACUGAGACACGGGCCCG
rnacentral:rRNA from 1 species